rnacentral:rRNA from 1 species
AGUGAGGAAUAUUGCACAAUGGGGGGAACCCUGAUGCAGCAACGCCGCGUGGAGGAUGACGCAUUUCGGUGUGUAAACUCCUUUUAUAUGUCAAGAAAAUGACGGUAGCAUAUGAAUAAGCACCGGCUAACUCCGUGCCAGCAGCCGCGGUAAUACGGAGGGUGCAAGCGUUACUCGGAAUCACUGGGCGUAAAGGACGCGUAGGCGGGUUAGUAAGUCAGAUGUGAAAUCCUACAGCUUAACUGUAGAACUGCAUUUGAAACUACUAACCUAGAGUAUGGGAGGGGGAGAUGGAAUUAGUGGUGUAGGGGUAAAAUCCGUAGAUAUCACUAGGAAUACCGAAAGCGAAGGCGAUCUCCUGGAACAUUACUGACGCUAAGGCGUGAAAGCGUGGGGAGCAAACGGGAUUAGAUACCCCGGUAGUCCACGCCCUAAACGAUGUUCACUAGUCGUCGGGAUGCUAGUCAUCUCGGUGAUGCACUUAACAGAUUAAGUGAACCGCCUGGGGAGUACGGUCGCAAGAUUAAAACUCAAAGGAAUAGACGGGGACCCGCACAAGUGGUGGAGCAUGUGGUUUAAUUCGAAGAUACGCGAAGAACCUUACCUAGCCUUGACAUUGAUAGAAUACACCAGAGAUGGAGUAGUGCCUUUCGGGGAACUUGAAAACAGGUGCUGCACGGCUGUCGUCAGCUCGUGUCGUGAGAUGUUGGGUUAAGUCCCGCAACGAGCGCAACCCUCGUCCUUAGUUGCCAGCAGGUUAAGCUGGGCACUCUAAGGAGACUGCCUUCGUAAGGAGGAGGAAGGUGAGGACGACGUCAAGUCAUCAUGGCCCUUAUGGCUAGGGCUACACACGUGCUACAAUGGGGCGUACAGAGUGUUGCGAUACCGCGAGGUGGAGCUAAUCACUUAAAGCGUCUCUCAGUUCGGAUAGCAGUCUGCAACUCGACUGCUUGAAGCUGGAAUCACUAGUAAUCGUAGAUCAGCAAUGCUACGGUGAAUACGU